rnacentral:misc_RNA from 1 species
UUUCCGUAGGUGAACCUGCGGAAGGAUCAUUCAUAAUAAGUGUUUUAUGGCCCUUUUUUAAAUCCAUAUCUACCUUGUGUGCAAUGUCAGGGUUGAUUAUUCUCUCGAGAGGAUCAACCCCAAACAUCAACUAUAUCUCAACUCUUUGUCUGAAAAAUAUUAUGAAUAAAACAAAUCAAAAUACAACUUUCAACAACGGAUCUCUUGGCUCUC